UUAAAGAAACCUGAAAGGAUUUGGUUUCGACCCAGAACGUGAUUUGCUCUCUUUUGA
rnacentral:tRNA from 1 species